AUGGCUGUCGUCAGCUCGUGUUGUGAAAUGUUGGGUUAAGUCCCGCAACGAGCGCAACCCCUAUCCUUAUUUGCCAGCGCGUAAUGGCGGGAACUCUAAGGAGACUGCCGGUGAUAAACCGGAGGAAGGUGGGGACGACGUCAAGUCAUCAUGGCCCUUACGGGAUGGGCUACACACGUGCUACAAUGGCAGGUACAGAGGGCAGCAAUACCGCGAGGUGGAGCGAAUCCCACAAAGCUUGUCGUAGUCCGGAUUGGAGUCUGCAACUCGACUCCAUGAAGUCGGAAUCGCUAGUAAUCGUAGAUCAGAAUGCUACGGUGAAUACGUUCCCGGGCCUUGUACACACCGCCCGUCACACCAUGGGAGUGGGAUGCAAAAGAAGUGGCUAGUUUAACCUUUCGGGGAGGACGGUCACCACUUUGUGUUUCAUGACUGGGGUGAAGUCGUAACAAGGUAACCCUAGGGGAACCUGGGGUUGGAUCACCUCCUUAUCUUGAAGUAAAACGUUUUGAUGAAAGCUUCGGCUUUGCGAGUGUUCACACAAAUUGUAUGAUAAUGAAUUAGAGAAACGAUAGGUCUGUAGCUCAGCUGGUUAGAGCGCACCCCUGAUAAGGGUGAGGUCGGCAGUUCAAGUCUGCCCAGACCUACCAAUAUAGUUUACUCAGUGUUAGUUCGCAGCUCGUGUAAUAAACUACACAGGGUUAGCAACUGCCUUGAUUAAAAGCUAAAUCGUCGUUUUAUUCUAUUAUAAAGAAAGAAACCAAACUUAAAUCAUCAUAUUUUGAUGUGUUAAGUUUGGUUUUUUAAACCAAGUUUUUAACCGAAUGCGCGUUAAUCACUACUUCUUUAACAAUCUGGAAAGCUGAUAUAAAUAUCGGUAUUUAUAUGCUAAGCACGGUGUCGCGCUGUUGCUUAGGUCAUUAUAAAUACCAAGCUGUUAAUACAUUCUCUUAUCGUGAAUGUGUUAAUGGUGGUAAUGCAUCCCCCCAAGGAUGUGUUAUCGAAUUCAUACUGCUCGCAAGAGCAAGAUGUCUUAUCAAGUAACUCAUCACAAGUUAACGGUGUUAAUUUGUUGAGUACGUGAAAAUGUCAGACUUUACAAUUGCUUUGGUUUAGUCACCAGAGCGUACUAUGUGUCUUUUUAGACUACUUAGGGUUGUAUGGUUAAGUGACUAAGCGUAUGUGGUGGAUGCCUUGGCAGUUAGAGGCGAUGAAGGACGUGUUAAUCUGCGAAAAGCGUUGGUGAGGUGAUAAAAACCGUUAUAGCCAAUGAUGUCCGAAUGGGGAAACCCGG
rnacentral:sRNA from 1 species